GUUCUCAUCCCGCAUUUGUUUCUCAUACUUCCGACUUUGAGACUGAAGCAGAUGAAGUUUCAAUUCAAUCAACUUGCAUCGCUGCCUAAUAGGUUGAAUAAAGUCUCUCCAAUGAGGUGUCACCUUUUUCCUCGUCAUCCUAAAUAUGUCACCAAAUCCACUAAAUGCCAGUUCUGAUGUAGCAUCACCGCUGUAUUCUGAUGUACACUCGAUAUCAUUCAUAGUUGUGCAAUACUCUGAUUCAGAAAAAAUACUCCCAAAAGAACUUGAACUUUCUGUCAACUCCUCUUUAUCUGAUUGCACCAGCACAUUAUCAGCAGGA
rnacentral:misc_RNA from 1 species